GAAUUCGCCCUUAGAGUUUGAUCCUGGCUCAGGACGAACGCUGGCGGCGUGCCUAACACAUGCAAGUCGAGCGAGAAUUUCGUAACGGAUUCCUUCGGGGAGAAGAUACGGAAGGAAAGCGGCGGACGGGUGAGUAACGCGUGAGUAACCUGCCUAUCAGAGGGGGACAACAUUUCGAAAGGGAUGCUAAUACCGCAUAAUAUUGUUUUACCGCAUGAUAGAACAAUCAAAGAUUUAUCGCUGAUAGAUGGACUCGCGUCUGAUUAGAUAGUUGGUGGGGUAAAGGCCUACCAAGUCGACGAUCGGUAGCCGAACUGAGAGGUUGAUCGGCCACAUUGGGACUGAGACACGGCCCAGACUCCUACGGGAGGCAGCAGUGGGGAAUAUUGCACAAUGGGGGAAACCCUGAUGCAGCGACGCCGCGUGGAGGAAGAAGGUCUUCGGAUUGUAAACUCCUGUUGUUGGGGAAGAUAAUGACGGUACCCAACAAGGAAGUGACGGCUAACUACGUGCCAGCAGCCGCGGUAAAACGUAGGUCACAAGCGUUGUCCGGAAUUACUGGGUGUAAAGGGAGCGCAGGCGGGAAGACAAGUUGGAAGUGAAAUCUAUGGGCUCAACCCAUAAACUGCUUUCAAAACUGUUUUUCUUGAGUAGUGCAGAGGUAGGCGGAAUUCCCGGUGUAGCGGUGGAAUGCGUAGAUAUCGGGAGGAACACCAGUGGCGAAGGCGGCCUACUGGGCACCAACUGACGCUGAGGCUCGAAAGUGUGGGUAGCAAACAGGAUUAGAUACCCUGGUAGUCCACACCGUAAACGAUGAUUACUAGGUGUUGGAGGAUUGACCCCUUCAGUGCCGCAGUUAACACAAUAAGUAAUCCACCUGGGGAGUACGACCGCAAGGUUGAAACUCAAAGGAAUUGACGGGGGCCCGCACAAGCAGUGGAGUAUGUGGUUUAAUUCGACGCAACGCGAAGAACCUUACCAAGUCUUGACAUCCCUUGACAGACAUAGAAAUAUGUAAUCUCUUCGGAGCAAGGAGACAGGUGGUGCAUGGUUGUCGUCAGCUCGUGUCGUGAGAUGUUGGGUUAAGUCCCGCAACGAGCGCAACCCUUAUGGUCAGUUACUACGCAAGAGGACUCUGGCCAGACUGCCGUUGACAAAACGGAGGAAGGUGGGGAUGACGUCAAAUCAUCAUGCCCUUUAUGACUUGGGCUACACACGUACUACAAUGGCGUUAAACAAAGAGAAGCAAGACCGCGAGGUGGAGCAAAACUCAGAAACAACGUCCCAGUUCGGACUGCAGGCUGCAACUCGCCUGCACGAAGUCGGAAUUGCUAGUAAUCGUGGAUCAGCAUGCCACGGUGAAUACGUUCCCGGGCCUUGUACACACCGCCCGUCA
rnacentral:rRNA from 1 species